GCCCUAGUUGCAUUAGUUUACUUUCCUAUCUCUGCAUUAGAGUCACCUUUAUAUGCAUUGAGAGUAGAUGAUGUAUAGGAUGUGAGAUAUUCUGGAAUGAAUGUAAGCUAAUGUUUAUAUUUUGGAAGAUGUAAGCUUUUUAUUAUGUUUUGGAAAUUCAAUGUAUAAUCGAAUUGUAAUCUAAUAGUUGAAUGAAUAUAAUAGAU
rnacentral:lncRNA from 1 species